CACGUAGGGCGCGAGCGUUGUCCGGAAUUAUUGGGCGUAAAGAGCUCGUAGGCGGCCUGUUGCGUCCGCUGUGAAAGCCCGGGGCUUAACCCCGGGUCGGCAGUGGAUACGGGCAGGCUAGAGGUAGGUAGGGGAGAAUGGAAUUCCCGGUGUAGCGGUGAAAUGCGCAGAUAUCGGGAGGAACACCUAUGGCGAAGGCAGCUCGCUGGGACGUUACUGACGCUGAGGAGCGAAAGCGUGGGGAGCGAACAGG
rnacentral:rRNA from 1 species